CCGCCUCCUCGGCCCUCGCACGUUUCUUCCCAGCACUCGAGGCCGCCGGGUCUGUUAUGAAACCCCGAGCGCUGAGUGGCUAAGAGCGGGUUCCAUUGCGAUGUAAUUAGGUCACCCCAUUAUGAGCACGUUUCUUUGGAAAGGACAGGGCGGGCGGAGCAGAGCGCUCCAGUCGCGCUCUCACCACCACCACCCACCCACCCACACACACACGCAUUUUUAUUACAUUUCUGAUGUAUUCGUCAACCUCCGAGCAGACCCAGGGAAAACUUCCAAAUCACAACGAAAGGAACCGGUUGUUUUUCAUCUUUGCGAAACACACAACUUUUGCUGCAGCCACGAAUCUACGUGAUCUCAGCCUGGUCUGCUUUUAUUUGGCCCCUCAGACUUAAAAUGAUGGCCCCCGUUUUUAACCCGGCGGCUGCCCCUUGCCUUUCCUUCUGCUGCCGUCCAGCCUCCUGUUGCUUCCCUCCCCCCUGCUCCCAUUUUUCAGCUUUUCUUGAAAUCUGGCAAGCGCCAGAAAGGGAAAUAACUUCCAUCCACCUUAAUUUAAAUCAUACAAGUGUAGGUUUCUUUCUUAAAGGGGUGUCUGCUCGCUCCUUUCCCCAGCUCCAAGAGGGGGGGGGGGGCUCGUGCAGUUUCUUGGUGAUGAGGUAAUGAGUUCCAGAUUUCAGGACAGAGCAGGCUGCGCGUUAAAACCACAAGAGAAUGCCGAUUCCUCGAAUUUCCUCCGCUUUUCCAACUCCCGGCCGCCGCUCCCCUCCCCCGCUCCCGGGGCGCGGGCUCCGCGGGGCGGCGGCCUGGCCCGCUCGCUCCGGAGUUGUUUACCGGCCCCGCCGACCCACCGAGUUUGUUCCAGCUCUGAGAGCCUGUCUCUAUAAUUAAACUCUUUUUUAAUUGUCGGGUUGAAACGUCAUUUCAGGGACUUUCCAAGGGUGAGGGAGCCGGGCGGAGGGAGCGAGCCUCCUUAACCCUUCGCUGACCCGGCGGGCCGGGGAGCCGCGUCCAGCCGGGCCGAGGAGGGCUGGGAGUCCGGGGGCCCGAGCCGGCGCGCCUCGGCCGGACGUCUCUGCAGGUGCCCGAAGGCGGCGGGGAUGGCCUCGAGCCCCGACCGCGGCAGGAAGCCGGGCAAGAGCCGUGCGCCGCCCUCCCCGCCUCCUUCGCCAAGCGGUCGGCGCUCGGGUUCCUAACUCGCGCCGGGUCGGGAGAAGCCGCCCCUUCACCUGCGCUGCCGCUUCCGACCGGGCGGCGAUCGGCCGGGUCCCCCGUCCAAGGCCCGACUUCGGCCCUCGCUGCUCCCUUGGAGCCGAAACCCUCUCGAGGAGGGGCUAACCAGGUAUUUUUGGCUUGGGGGUGUUAGGUUUUGUUCAAGGAGGAAAGUGAAAGUCCUCGGAAUUAAGGAAGCGCGACGGACAUAUUCAUGAGCCAAUCUGGACCGUGGGCGCACCUCGCAGCAGCCCCAGCCAGUUUGCUUUGGAAUUAUCCUCCAGCCCUCUCCCCCAGUGCCCAGCCCAGAAAGGGACCAACCCCACCCUGGGGAGCUGUUCCUUUGAGAAGCAGGACCCACCUCCCCAGCCAGAGGCGGCAUCAGACAACUCUUGGAGGCUCAUCACAUAGGCAGCCAGAGAGAGGAUGGAUUUCUGCCACAGCCCUGUGACUUCUUCCGAGCUGAAUUUCUCCCGCCUACUGCACCCUCCGCCCUGCGGGGGCUACGGGCCCCCCAAACCAGGGCCUGCCCUCGUCUGACCAAAGGCAACCAGAUCUGCUGCAGCUGUUCAGGGAGAGAACAAGCUCUCCCAGAGACCGUGGAAGUGGCUAGAGAAAGAUUCCUGCCAGCCUGGGGGUGUAAAUAUUUAUACAACGUGUAGCAGGAACGUUGGACAUUGAUGAAGAUGAUGAGGAACGGAGGGGACCUGGCAGGUGAGCAAGGCGUGGCGAAGGCGAGGGAGCCCUUGGUGGCACUUGCAGGGCAGCACGCAGCCACCAUCACCACGGGGCCCAGGAGAAGACCGAGCGGCCUGAUGGACACCCAGCUGGUGCUCUUGGGCCCCGGCAGCCCGGGAUGCAGCGCAGCCCCGGGUGCGCAUCGACCCAGCUGCUCCUCAUCUAGGCCCACCCAGAGCUCAGCCAGGCCCCAGUGGCACCGACGUCCCAGGGUGGGAGGCAGGCAUGGGUCGGGGGGUGGGGAGGGUGGGGGACGGCCAGAUGGACUCCAGUCGAUCUGCCUCAGACAGCUGGGGAGCAGAGCCAGGACGCGCCUCUCCCCCCGCCCCCGUCACUUCACACAGGAGGGGCACGGCUGCGACUUCUAGGGUUUCUCUGCCACUGCACCCUUCAAGAAGUGCCACCUGCUUCUAUCAGUAUGGGGCUGACCCUCAGGGCCUCCCACAGGUGGGCUCUGUGUUGCUCCUCUCCUCAGUGGCCAGCCGCCUUUAAGACACCUUGAAAUGAUCAGCCCCCACUUGCAUUCUCUUUGUGCCCUAAAAACACCCGCUGGCUGGGCUGGGGGUGUUGGGAGGGAAGGGCCUUCUGCCGGGAAACCGCCUUGGGUCUUCAGCCAGAGAGCGACUCUCAGAGGACACCCAGACUCCCCCAGGAGGCAGCCCCCUAGGCUGCAAGUCGUCCCACCCACAGCACAGAGCUUUGCGAGGAAUACAUUCCCAGGGCAUGCACCUCCCCUGAGCGCCAGCCUUUAGGGUGGAAGCCGGUGAAUCCCCCACCUGUCCACUCAGAGAGGGACGGAUUCCACCGCCUCGCUGAGCAGUGGGGCCCAGGCCCACACACCGUGGAGGAAACACCAUCUGCCCCGGCCCUCAGCCCCAGCCUGGCAGCCGAUGUGAACCCUUGAGGUGGGGGGAGAGGAGCCCUCUGGAAGAGGAGCCCUCCCAGCUCCCCUCCCCAAGGAGAGGGCUCCUCUUCCAGAGACACCACUGCGGGAGAAUCUUCAGAUGCUCAGGUCCUCUUCUGCCACCGUGGCUCUGCCUGCCGGCUGUGGCCUCCUUCUUGCCAGCUCUGCUGAAACAGAUGAGCAAGACUAAAAGCCUGUGUGGCCCAAGGAAAGCUUGAGGGGAGGGAACUGACGCUGAAGGAAAAGGAGAGGAAGAACUACAAGAAACAGGAGAGGAGGGGAAUUCAGGAAACGGACAAAAUAAACCAUCCGGGAAUCCAGAUGUAAAACAAGGAAGGCCAAAAGAAAAGAAAAAUUAUGCUAAGAAGGCAGAGUCGGGUGGGGAAGGGAAUUGAGAAUCAAAAAGAAGAGAAGGGCAGUUAUAAAUAUUCUGGAAAGAAGAAUGUGAACGCAAACAAUACCAGAAAAAAAAAGAGAGAGAGAGACCCAGGAGGGAAAGAGAAGCAGCAAUGAGUUUAAAACUGCUUUGACCCUCAACCAACCACAUUCAGUAAUGUUCUGAGUCUUAGGGCAUUUUGUGGAUUUCAGACUCUUCUAAAGCUGAGCAGAGGACAGUCCUAGAAAAACAAGCUUUCCUGCAUGCCCUUGUUUUUCCUACAGUUCCCCAGCUCAGCACCACCGUUGGUCUUUUUCAGAGGGAGAGCUCAUCUUGCCCGGGGCAAGGCCAAAAACCAUUCCAGUUCGCCCCAGAGUCUGGUGGCUUCCAUCAUGGUGCCCUCUGGAGGGCCCACUGGGAGAUUUGAGCAGGAGCAGCUCUGUGACGGAGAAGCAUUGCGGAGCGAUGCAGCUGUACCAUCCACUUUUCAUCUUCUAGGGUGGGCUUUUCCCAGCCACCUUGCUGGGGACCAGGGCUAACCCAGCCCUCGGACACAGCAGGGGUGCCUGGAAGACGGCAUACCCAACUCUGUGCGGAGCCAGAGGGGUCCCAGCAAAUGCAACUUUUGGAAACAACUUAGAUGAUUUAAAUUUGUUUCCAGGCAUUCCCAACUGGGACCUAAAGAUAGCUACAGUUUUCUCAUUGCUAGGUGGCAAACAGCUUAGUUUCUUGAAGUUCACCUUCAAAUGCCUCCUAUCCAUAAACCCCAUGAACACUUGCAGAAGACCCUGGUUCCUCUCCCUUUGUCAGCUGGGCCUUUCAGCCUUCUGUUGCCCCUCUUUUCCUCUGUGAAUCAGCCAGUGUCUCUUGUCUGUGUCUGCCCAGGUCGUUCAUUUCCCUUACUUAAUCACACCCACUUCUGCCCACUGGUCCGUUUCUCUAGGGCAGCAGCUGAACCAGACCAAGGCAAAAUCAAGAAGCAAAGGAAGUAAAAAUGUGAGUUUGGUUUAGCGCCCCGCAUUGGCACGUCCAGGCUGUCUGCAGCGGGUGAGGAGGCCUGCUGGUGCACAGGGGUCUGAGCCUCCCCAGGCCACCUAAAACUGCUCCCCCAAAGUUCAGCCAAGGGGAAGCCACACAAGCCGGGCUCUGAUCGACUGGGACAAAGGAAACAGUGCACACACCGGCCCUUGUCCCCAAGAAUUCUUAAGUACUUGACCCCGGUUCUCUACGUUCCAAAAGUCACAUUUUUCUUCUAUCAAAAACGGAGAGAUGUGGCCAAAUGUACAGCAGGGAUCACGUCUAGGUUGUAGCCUUGGAUACUCAACCCGGUUUCUUCUCCUCCCUCCUCACCUUCCAACCUGCCACAGUCGUAUAAUCUAUGACUCAAACUAUUAUUUAACCGUGAAAAAAGACAAACCAGGAAAUUAGAGGCUGAAUGACCUAAAAUUUAUUCCAUUCAACUGAGCUAAUCUCCUAAUAAGGGUGUGUAUAAUAAUAAGUCAUGCUAUAACUGUUCUGGAAGAUGUGAACAUCACAGGGAAAAGUGCACGGUGAUUGAAGAUCCCAACCUGUUGAGAUUUGUCCUCAAAAGCCUAAGUGCCUGGUCCCGGGCCACGCUGCCAAGCAGUUUGCCAAACGAGUCUUAACAUUUGGGAACCAAUGGAGAGUAGCCCAUGUUCAAGGCUGACCGCAGUCAAAUCCCGGCACUGGCACUGCCUAGGCAAGCAGGGGACUUACCUGCCUCCUCUAGUCUCCGCUCUGAAAUGGCCGUGACGGCAACCCCCAUCUCCUGGGGCUGUGGCCGCAAGGACAGUGAGCAAGGCGCUUGGCACAUGUGAGCAGCCCUCCCUCCCUAAAAGCACCCCCAGUCAACUGUUGCUGUGUGUUCAGCAGCGAAUUGGCAAGACCAAGAGGGAAGCUGGAGGCCCCACAAAGUGGGGUUCCACGGAGUCACUGGAACACAGUCAAGUAUCCCGAGCAAGAGAGAGGAGAGGGUCCCAGAGGAGGCCCAGGCAGCUGGCGGGUGGAGCACUGCGCGGAGAGCCAAGGACAGCCACUCACAGCGUGGGUGGGAGGACGCAGGGGGCUGCGCUCCAGUCCUCCCGCAUUAGCUCAACUCGGCUGCAUCCCCACCCUUGCAUGUGUUCAUCCUUCCGUGAACCCCAGCACGUAGUUACCUAGCACCCCCCAUGUGCCCAGCACAGGCCAGGCCAAGGGCGGUGGGGGGAGCAAGCUUACGCAGGGAUCACGAGCCUCAGAGACUUUAAUAACCGGGCAUUUCUGUCCAAAUUCAGAGAUCUGUCCUUUUAGGAGCUAGACUGUAAGGAUAUGACCAAAUGCUGAGAAAUUCUUAUUUCAGGGCCAAUUUUCCUUCUUAAAGUAGAAAGGCAAAGAGUUCAAAAAUGUUCUGGAAAUGUGAACACUCACAGAAUCUCGUUAACAUUUAAGGGGUAUUGUUAGUUUUUAGGUGACAUAAAGACCGUGUGGCUAAGUUUUUUUUAGAGAUACAUACGGAAAUACUGGCAGAUGAAAUGUUAUGCCCUGAUAUAUAGGAUUUACUUCAGUAUUAUAUGGGAGGUGGGGAGGUGUCAGGGGACAAGCUUGGCCAGGAGUUGGUGAUAUUGGUGAUGGGUACAUGGCGAUUCAUCACACGCCUCUGUCUCCUCCUGUAUAUGUUUGAAAUUUUCCACAAUAAAAGGUCUUAAGUUCAUAAAAAAUGAAACGUUUUUAACU